UGGGGACUUGUAUCAACGGCACCACGAGGGUUAGACUGUCUCCUUUUUCAAAUCAGUGAAAUUAAUCUCCCCGUGAAGAAGCGGGGAUACUCAUAUAAGACGAGAAGACCCCAUGGAGCUUCAAACCCAACUACACCCCUAGCUCUUAUAGCCCCACAACCCCCCUAGGCGCNGUGUGCUUGGUUUUAGGUUGGGGCGACCGCGGAGUACAAUAAAACCUCCNCAAUGAAUGGGAACACCCCCUUAUCUGAGGGCCACACCCCCUAAGAAUUAGAACACUAA
rnacentral:rRNA from 1 species